rnacentral:rRNA from 1 species
UACGUAGGGCGCAAGCGUUAUCCGGAAUUAUUGGGCGUAAAGAGCUCGUAGGCGGUUUGUCGCGUCUGCCGUGAAAGUCCGGGGCUCAACUCCGGAUCUGCGGUGGGUACGGGCAGACUAGAGUGAUGUAGGGGAGACUGGAAUUCCUGGUGUAGUGGUGAAAUGCGCAGAUAUCAGGAGGAACACCGAUGGCGAAGGCAGGUCUCUGGGCAUUAACUGACGCUGAGGAGCGAAAGCUAGGGGAGCAAACAGG